rnacentral:rRNA from 1 species
GAGUUUGAUUCUGGCUCAGAUUGAACGCUGGCGGCGUGCUUAACACAUGCAAGUCGAACGUGAAAGGGGCUUCGGCCCCGAGUAAAGUGGCGCACGGGUGAGUAACGCGUGGACAAUCUGCCCUUAUGAGUGGGAUAACAGUUGGAAACGGCUGCUAAUACCGCAUACGCUCAGGAAUGACUUUUUGAGGAAAGGCGGCCUCUGCUUGCAAGCUGUCGCAUAAGGAUGAGUCCGCGUCCCAUUAGCUUGUUGGUGGGGUAACGGCCUACCAAGGCAACGAUGGGUAGCCGAUUUGAGAGGAUGAUCGGCCACACUGGAACUGAAACACGGUCCAGACUCCUACGGGAGGCAGCAGUGGGGAAUAUUGCGCAAUGGGCGAAAGCCUGACGCAGCGACGCCGCGUGAGGGAUGAAGGUUUUCGGAUCGUAAACCUCUGUCGGAAGGGAAGAAGGUGCACUCUGCCAAUCAGGGGUGUAUGA